rnacentral:rRNA from 1 species
UACGUAGGGCGCAAGCGUUAUCCGGAAUUAUUGGGCGUAAAGAGCUCGUAGGCGGUGUGUCGCGUCGGCCGUGAAAACCUGGGGCUCAACUCUGGGCGUGCGGUCGAUACGGGCAUCACUUGAGUUCGGCAGGGGAGAUUGGAAUUCCUGGUGUAGCGGUGGAAUGCGCAGAUAUCAGGAAGAACACCCGUGGCGAAGGCGGCUCUCUGGGACGGUACUGACGCUGAGACGCGAAAGCGUGGGGAGCGAACAGG